rnacentral:rRNA from 1 species
GACGAACGCUGGCGGCGUGCUUAACACAUGCAAGUCGAACGGAAAGGCCCUUUCGGGGGUACUCGAGUGGCGAACGGGUGAGUAACACGUGGGUGAUCUGCCCUGCACUCUGGGAUAAGCCUGGGAAACUGGGUCUAAUACCGGAUAGGACCAUGGGAUGCAUGUUCUGUGGUGGAAAGCUUUUGCGGUGUGGGAUGGGCCCGCGGCCUAUCAGCUUGUUGGUGGGGUGAUGGCCUACCAAGGCGACGACGGGUAGCCGGCCUGAGAGGGUGUCCGGCCACACUGGGACUGAGAUACGGCCCAGACUCCUACGGGAGGCAGCAGUGGGGAAUAUUGCACAAUGGGCGCAAGCCUGAUGCAGCGACGCCGCGUGGGGGAUGACGGCCUUCGGGUUGUAAACCUCUUUCAGUAUCGGCGAAGCUUGCGGGUUUUCUCGCAGGUGACGGUAGGUACAGAAGAAGCACCGGCCAACUACGUGC